UACGUAGGGACCAAGCGUUGUCCGGAAUCAUUGGGCGUAAAGAGCGUGUAGGCGGCUUGUUAAGUCUUGCGUGAAAUCUCGGGGCUCAACCCCGAGCGGUCGUGAGAAACUGGCAGGCUAGAGUGCGGGAGAGGAGAGUGGAAUUCCUGGUGUAGCGGGUGAAAAUGCGCAGAUAUCAGGAGGAACACCGGUGGCGAAGGCGGUGCUCUGGGCCGAAACUGACGCUGAGGAGCGAAAGCGUGGGUAGCAAACAGG
rnacentral:rRNA from 1 species